GUCCCCAUCGUCUAGAGGCCUAGGACACUGCCCUUUCACGGCGGCGACAGGAGUUCGAAUCUCCUUGGGGACGCCC
rnacentral:tRNA from 1 species